AUUGAACGCUGGCGGCAUGCCUUACACAUGCAAGUCGAACGGCAACACGGCGCCUGGCGCCUACUGGCGGGUGACGGGCGGGUAAGUAAUACGAAGGAACACGUCCUGGGGGGGUAGAUACCCCGGAGAAAAGCUGAUUAAGACCACAAACUAUGGACGGAAGAAGGGGGGGGAAAGGCGUGCCUCGCGCGGUAGGGCCGGCCGAUGGCUGAUUAGCUAGUUGGUGGGGUAAAGGCCCACCAAGCCGACGAUCUGUAGCUGGUCUGAGAGGACGACCAGCCACACUGGGACUGAGACACGGCCCAGACUCCUACGGGAGGCAGCAGUGGGGAAUUUUGGACAAUGGGCGCAAGCCUGAUCCAGCAAUGCCGCGUGCAGGAAGAAGGCCUUCGGGUUGUAAACUGCUUUUGUACGGAACGAAACGGCUCUGGUUAAUACCCGGGGCUAAUGACGGUACCGUAAGAAUAAGCACCGGCUAACUACGUG
rnacentral:rRNA from 1 species